rnacentral:hammerhead_ribozyme from 1 species
AUCCAGCUGACGAGCCCCAAAUAGGACAAAACGCUCAUUCUGGAU